rnacentral:rRNA from 1 species
AUUGAACGCUGGCGGCAGGCCUAACACAUGCAAGUCGAGCGAGCGGCGGACGGGUGAGUAAUGUAUGGGGACUGCCCGAUAGAGGGGGAUAACUACUGGACACGGUGGCUAAUACCGCAUACUAUCGGAUAACCCAUAUGGGAUUAGCUAGUAGGUGGGGUAAAGGCUCACCUAGGCGACGAUCUCUCGCGGGUCUGAGAGGAUGAUCAGCCACACUGGGACUGAGACACGGCCCAGACUCCAAGGGAGGAAGCAGUGGGGAAGAUUGCACAAUGUGCGCAAGCCUGAUGCAGCAUAGCCGCGUGUAUGAAGAAGGCCUGAGGGUGGUAAAGUCCUGUCGUCGGUGGGGCGUUACCCGCAGAAGAAGCAACGGCUAACUCCGUGACAGCCGCCGCGGUAAUUC